AGCGAACGCUGGCGGCAGGCCUAACACAUGCAAGUCGAACGGCAGCACAGUAAGAGCUUGCUCUUACGGGGGGCGAGUGGCGGACGGGUGAGGAAUACAUCGGAAUCUACUUUUUCGUGGGGGAUAACGUAGGGAAACUUACGCUAAUACCGCAUACGACCCACGGGUGAAAGCAGUGGAGCUUCGGACCUUGUGGGAUUGGAUGAGCCGAUGUCGGAUUAGCUAGUUGGCGGGGUAAUGGCCCACCAAGGCGACGAUCGGUAGCCGGCCUGAGAGGGUGACCGCGGACCAGGCUACUGCGAGAGGGAGCAGUGUCGAACAUUAGGCAGUGGGGGCGAGCCUGAUCCAACGAGACCACGUGGGAGGCAGAGACGUUCGGGUUGGGAAGCCGUUUUGUUGGGAGAGAAACGCAGCCGGUUAAUACCCCGCGGUUCUGACGGUACCCGAAGAAGAAGCACCGGCUAACUACGUG
rnacentral:rRNA from 1 species